UACGGAAGGGGCAAGCGUUGUUCGGAAUCAUUGGGCGUAAAGGGCGCGUAGGUGGUUUUGUGUGUCUACCGUGAAAGCAUACAGCUCAACUGUAUUUUGUCGGUAGAAACUGCAGGACUUGAGGCUGGGAGGGGCUGGUGGAAUUCCCUGUGUAGCGGUGAAAUGCGUAGAGAUGGGGGAGAACACUCGUGGCGAAGGCGGCCAGCCUAGACCAGUUCUGACACUGAGGCGCGACGAGCGUGGGGAGCAAACAGG
rnacentral:rRNA from 1 species